rnacentral:rRNA from 1 species
GAUGAACGCUGGCGGCGUGCCUAACACAUGCAAGUCGAACGGAAAGGCCCUGCUCUUGCGGCGUGCUCGAGUGGCGAACGGGUGAGUAACACGUGAGUAACCUGCCCUUGUCUUUGUGAUAACUUCAGGAAACUGGGGCUAAAAUCGGAUAGGAGCUCCUGCUGCACGGUGGGGGUUGGAAAGUUUCGGCGGUUGGGGAUGGACUCGCGGCUUAUCAGCUUGUUGGUGGGGUAGUGGCUUACGAAGGCUUUGACGGGUAGCCGGCCUGAGAGGGUGACCGGCGACAAUGGGACUGAGAGACGGCGCAGACGCCUACGGGAGGCAGCGGUGGGGAAUAUUGCGGAGUGAGGGGAAGCCUGAUGCAGCGACGCCGCGUGCGGAAUGACGGCCUUCUGGUUAAAAACCGCUUUCUCAGGUGACGAAGAGUGAGUGACGGUAAUGAGUAAGGAAGCACCGGCUAACUACGUG